UUAUCUGAACUUUCUUUCUCAGUGAGCGGCCAUGAAGAUCAGUCUUUCUCUAGAUCCGCUUUAAUCUAUUAAUUAUUAAUACAUUGAAUAAUUUUUAUUAACCAGAUAAACAGUUUUAAGGACACCUCAACCUCUGUUGCUUCCCUUACAUUUAUAGAUUUAUAACUUCAUACCGUAUGGGACGCAUUUUUAUCCCGGAAUAGACAAGAUGACAUAACAUCACCUCCUCCUUGAGACGUUCAUUGGACUUCCUCAUCUGAACUUCAGUCUUUCUCAUCUAUUAUGGAUGAGGAGAGAGAAGAGGGGGGUCCUACCUCUAAAACCAGUCUGUCUGAGGAACACGGCUGCCAGAGCAAAGCUAAGAGCCCAGAGCAGCAGGGGAGACCAGAGUCCCCUGGACCCAGCUGUGUCUCCAUGAAGAGUGACCGCUC